AUUGAGGUUAGAUAAGGGAAAUAGUGGUUAAAAUGAAGGUUCGAUAGAGGUCUUUAUGGUGGCUAUGAGUGGGACGUGGAGGUCGAGAAAGAUGGUUGCAAAUGUGGUUUAUAUGCGGUUGUGAUGUAAUAUGGAGGAGGAAGAUGGUGGUUACAUGAAAAAUGGGUGAUUAUGGAGAUUGUAUAGAAAAUGGUGGAGGGAAAGUAUAUAAUGAUGAUGGUUUGUAUGCUUUCUCCACAUGAAUUCCUCCUUCCCUUUUGCACGAC
rnacentral:lncRNA from 1 species